rnacentral:piRNA from 1 species
UGCAGAUAUAUUUUUAAUGCA